UAUUUGUGACAUGAUCUAUUGUAUCAUUCCUUAGUUUAACAUACCAUUUGUACUUGUAUUUCCCGUAGUUUAGAAAACUAGAAUACGUGUGUAUGCACAUUUUUGAAAAAUACGCUUGUUUUGUAAAUCAUUUGUGUUUAUUAAAAUUCACAACCAUUUGUGAGAUAAUGCUUGUUUGUGAAAUGGUUUAGAAAUACGUAAUUAUCGAAAACCUUGUAUGCUUUGCAAAGUGUGCAUGUCUUUUCACCCCGAAAACAUUUAGAAAAAAAUGGCAUGCGUGAUUAUGUAAAACGAAUUUGAAAUCAUUUUCUUUGGCAUGUUAUAUGGAAACUUUGUAUUCAUAUAACUUCGUAUUCGUAACGCAUUAUGUUCAUAAAAUAUUGUAUUGGUAAACUCUUGUAUUUGAAAAUUUUGCGUAACCGUCAAUGUCCACCCUGACAUUGACAACAUGCAUGCAUAAUCCUAUGCGUUAUAUUCGUAUAAAACAUGGUAUGUAAGUGUAAGCUUGUAAACUGUAACACGUAAGUUUGUAAGUUGUAAAUUCAAGGAAAUCAGAUAUCGCUAAUGGUUUGCAAGGCCAUUAACAUAUGUGACGACAUAGGAAGCAUCCAAACCAUAGGCAUUUUACUUUUCGAUUCACGACUAGAGACACAAAAGCACUCUUGGUAAAAAUGUGGCCAAGAGUGUGGCUGCCUGAAACCCAUUAGAUCUAACCUUUUGUUCCGCGGUCUAGGUAUAUAGUUGAUUAAUGGUGCUUAAGUCUCACCCUAUUCGUGACAUGAUCUAUUGUAUCAUUCCUUAGUUUAACAUACCAUUUGUACUUGUAUUUCCCGUAGUUUAGAAAACUAGAAUACGUGUGUAUGCACAUUUUUGAAAAAUACGCUUGUUUUGUAAAUCAUUUGUGUUUAUUAAAAUUCACAACCAUUUGUGAGAUAAUGCUUGUUUGUGAAAUGGUUUAGAAAUACGUAAUUAUCGAAAACCUUGUAUGCUUUGCAAAGUGUGCAUGUCUUUCCACCCCGAAAACAUUUAGAAAAAAAUGUAAAACCGUAAAAAGGUGGGGUUGUGAACUCACCUGGAUAUCCUUGUGCAAAGCUAGCUUAACGUGAUUCCGUGAUGUCAUUCCAAGAACGUGUAUUUAGCUAGCGUGCAACUACGACAUUCCUACGAAGGAAUAAUUAUGAGUUUUCUAAAUAUAAGUGGUAACUAACUACGUGUCACCGAGCUCUACGCAAUCGUUAACCGAACGAUUCGACGGUAAGUUGUUAACUUGGUAAAAACAGUUAAGUUAUGCUUGCUUAGUUCGUCUAUUGUCGGUAAUUAAUAAGUCUUGAAAAGACUUAGUUCUCGAGAGGUUUAAAAUAUAUAAGUAUUUAUAUAAAAAUACACAAAUAUAUAUCGGUAGAAUCUCGUUAGUCGUCUUGAGAAGUCGUUUGUGUAUGUAAUAAACAUUUAUAUGAAAAUAACAUGUAACAAACUCGUACGUUGAUAUAUAAUGUGCCGUUUAGGCGUUUGAAAUAAAUAUGAAGUAAUAUUUAUUUUAUAAAAGAAUCGUCGAGUUGUUGUGUUUGAAAAUAAAUAUUUGACUAUAUUUAUUUUUAUAAGAGAAUUCGAUUUGUUUGUGUCGGAAAUAAAUAUAUAGCUAUAUUUAUUUAUAAAGAAUUUGCUUUGUUUGUUAUCGAAAAUAAACAUAUAACUAUAUUUAUUUAUAAAAGGAUUCUUUUCGUUUGUUAUUGUAAAUAUAUAUAUAUAUAUAUAUAUAUAUAUAUAUAUAUAUAUAUAUAUAUAAAUAUAUUUAUUUAUAGAAGGAUUCAUUUCAUUUCUUUGAUUGUUGAAAUAAAUAUAAACUAUAUUUACUUUUAUGAAAAGAAGUCGUAUUAUUCGACAUCUGAAACAAUAUAAAUAAUUACAUUGAUUUUAUAAAAGUUUUGUCGAAUUUUCGAAGUCUAAACUAAAUAUAUUAACUAUAUUUAUUUGUUGUAAAUAAUUUACGAAUAGUCGUUUUCGUAAGUUGUAAAGUGUCGUCGAGAGUAAUUAUAUACUUGUAUUUGCUUUUAUAAAAGAUUAUUUGAAUCCGAUAGUUUGUUUUAUAAUAAAACGCGUUUCGUUUUUACGGAUUUACUCGAAAAAGGGGCAGAGUUUCCUCUGUUUUUGGACGCCCCGACAACACAAGUUGUCGUUAUAUUUUCAAAAUUCAAUCAAGAUUCAAUCAAUAUAUAUGUAAUUUUUUGUCAACUAUAUUAAAAUGUAUACUAAAAUCAAGUUGGUUUGAGCUCGUUUUCACGUAAUGAAUCAUAAUUAUAAAGAUAACAAAAUAAACGCGCCGUUAAUCUUUACCAGCUUCUCGUGUCAAAAUGCUGACUUAGUUGACCUAGUCAACUGAGUUGGCCGGCUGAGUUGACUCGUUGAGCUGACUCUGUUGACCGAGUUGAAUCGGUUGACCGAGUGGACUCGGUUUGACCGAGUCGACCGAACCGAACCACGAACCGCAAGACUCAAUGUGUUGACUCGAACCCACAAAUGACCGGGUUGGCUGUUGUUGACUGAUUUUAACAUAUGUUGACCGGGUUUGACCCGGGUUGACCCGAAACCCGCUGAAAAACUCGAACCAUACUUGACCCGCACCAUAGUGGCCUGAACCCGAAGCUGAAAAAACUGACACAAGUUCGAGUCAAAACUCUUGAACUUUCGGCUGACCUGACCCGAGAACAAACCAUUACCCGAACAUGAACAUCACCUUCAACAUCACAUCAUCUUCCUCACCUAUUGACACAGCAACAUCACCAUCGGACUUCAACCGUCAUCGCCCUCGCCUGAAUCGUCAGCCGCCGCCGCCGCCGUCGGACAGUGGGUAACCAAAGGAACAAUCGCCGCUCUCUCAUCCUCCGAUUCUCUCUCUGAUUCUUGUCGCCUGAAUUCACGUUGCUUCGCCAGAAAAUCCACUGGCAUCGUCACCGGUUCCGGUUGC
rnacentral:lncRNA from 1 species